GCUUUAGUAGUUUAAAUUAAAACAUUGGUUUUGUAAACCAAAAAUAGAAAUCUCUAAAACA
rnacentral:tRNA from 1 species